rnacentral:lncRNA from 1 species
AGAGUGACUUGGACAGUGAAGAAGAGAGGUGUGGCUGGCGGAACGUCGUAAACUAUCCUCCAUUACCUGGUGUUGAGCAAGACGGUUGAGCAGUGGUGUGGUGCUGCCCGUGUUAAGCGUCACCAAUGUGGAGAACUUUACACGGGACAAACCUCUGUCAGGACACUGAUGGAGACGUAGAAAAAAACGGAUGGCGAUGACGAUAUUGAUUGAAUGGUGUGAUGCGUCUGGUGCUGCCCGCCUGGAGCGUCACCAAUCGGGACAAACCUCUGUAAGGGACACUGACGGAGACGUAGAAAACACCAGUGCCUGUAUUCUGAGACGCUUUGCUCCCUCACCAUCACUGCUUCCCAAAGGUAUGGUAUGGGCAACACAAUGGCAGGAGCAGUAGAACGAUGACGAGGCGGCUUUCUUCAUUUCGCCCAUCACUCCAACAGGGAAGUGACAAGUCUUCAUCUUAUCAUCGUCCUCUACACCAGUCACUCCUGUAAAGAAAUAAAAUCCGAGUCUAUUCACAACAUGGACCUCGCACGCACCCACCCACCCAC